GCCAGGCAUGGUGGUGCAUGCCUGUAAUCCCAGCUACUCAGGAGGCUGAGGUGGGAGGAUUGCUUGAACCCGGGAGGCAGGGGUUGCAGUGAGCCAAGAUUGUACCACUGCACUCCAGCCGGGUGAAAGAGUGAGACCCUAUCUCAA
ensembl:misc_RNA Metazoa_SRP Metazoan signal recognition particle RNA